rnacentral:piRNA from 2 species
UGGUACAGCAACUGAAUCCACAGUGCCAU